CAAGUCGAACGGUAACAGGAAACAGCUUGCUGUUUCGCUGACGAGUGGCGGACGGGUGAGUAAUGUCUGGGAAACUGCCUGAUGGAGGGGGAUAACUACUGGAAACGGUAGCUAAUACCGCAUAACGUCGCAAGACCAAAGAGGGGGACCUUCGGGCCUCUUGCCAUCGGAUGUGCCCAGAUGGGAUUAGCUAGUAGGUGGGGUAACGGCUCACCUAGGCGACGAUCCCUAGCUGGUCUGAGAGGAUGACCAGCCACACUGGAACUGAGACACGGUCCAGACUCCUACGGGAGGCAGCAGUGGGGAAUAUUGCACAAUGGGCGCAAGCCUGAUGCAGCCAUGCCGCGUGUAUGAAGAAGGCCUUCGGGUUGUAAAGUACUUUCAGCGGGGAGGAAGGGAGUAAAGUUAAUACCUUUGCUCAUUGACGUUACCCGCAGAAGAAGCACCGGCUAACUCCGUGCCAGCAGCCGCGGUAAUACGGAGGGUGCAAGCGUUAAUCGGAAUUACUGGGCGUAAAGCGCACGCAGGCGGUUUGUUAAGUCAGAUGUGAAAUCCCCGGGCUCAACCUGGGAACUGCAUCUGAUACUGGCAAGCUUGAGUCUCGU
rnacentral:rRNA from 1 species